CAAUAGCGUAUAUUAAAGUUGUUGCAGUUAAAAAGCUCGUAGUUGGAUUUCUGGUGGGAGCGAUCGGUCUGGCGCUUAGCGCGAGUACUUGCAUCGUCUCCGGCCAUCCUUGGGGAGAGUCUGUCUGGCAUUAAGUUGUCGGGCAGAGGAUCCUCAUCGUUUACUGUGAAAAAAUUAGAGUGUUCAAAGCAGGCUUAUGCCGUUGAAUAUAUUAGCAUGGAAUAAUAAGAUAGGACUUUGGUACUAUUUUGUUGGUUUGCGCACCAAAGUAAUGAUUAAUAGGGACAGUUGGGGGUAUUCGUAUUCCGUUGUCAGAGGUGAAAUACUUGGAUUUACGGAAGACGAACUACUGCGAAAGCAUUUACCAAGGAUGUUUNCAUUGA
rnacentral:rRNA from 1 species